CUGGCGUGCAACUUACAAUGUUCCCACCUCAGCCUGGGUUCCAGCUGGGUUACAAGCAUGUGCCACCAUGCCUGGCUGCUCUGGUUCACAUUUCACAUGAAGACUAUAUCUGUCCCCACUGCCCCAUUGUGAAGCCUGUUUUCAUUUCAGGGUCUGCUGACAUUCAGGGAUGUGGCCAUUGAAUUCUCCCAGGAGGAGUGGAAGUGCCUGGUUCCUGCCCAGAGGGCGCUGUACAGGGAGGUGAUGCUGGAGACCCACAGGAACCUGGUCUCCCUGGGAUGCUGAAACAUUGUGGAUUCCAGACAGAUUGAUACGUCACUACAAUGAGCCCUAUUCGAAGGAGGAAGAACGAAAUGUAUUGAAUCCCUUACCAACCCAAUCAGAUGGAUGAAGAUGGGCUAGUAUUUAAGAUGAAAAAGUUGCGCCUUGCACAAUCACUUGCAACUCACAACUCAGACCUGCUGACUGGGGGACAAGUGAAACACCUGACUGCGGCAGCUGAACACAUGGUGAACAGCUCCGGAAAACCUAAAACCCCAGAGGCUUUGUUUUUUGCAUUGAUUGCUCUCAUUUCGACUCAGUCGUCCUCCAAGUAAUCCUCAGACUAGUCAAGAAAAUAAAAAUUCAAG